GCUUUGUAUAAGAUAGCGCAAAGAUUGAUUGGUCUAAAAUGACUUGACUCCAAAAUAUCUUGCCUUAUUGGAAAUAGGAUGAUGAAGUCCUUUUUCAAGCUCCAAGCAUCAAUCUUAUGCAAAAGAAUUAUUGAACUACCACCACCACCUGAUCUCCAUUGAUCUUCUAGUACAUCAUGAAGAAGAAGGAUGGGAAGCCAUUUGGUCUGAGGACCUUAUCCUCUGCCAUGGACCAAAUGGCCCCCUUAACCUCAUCUACCGACACCGCACCAAUCAAGACACAACUCUCACUAGCCGAGAUCUAACUAGCAAGAGGGGGCAAACUAAAUAAUUUGUCACCAUCUAACUUGGCUAUCCAUUUAUCCCUAAAGAAGUAUAGAAUCUUUGGCUUAACAGCCUCCUCAUCCUCAAUCCAGUACCCUUAGCAUUCCUCAACAC
rnacentral:lncRNA from 1 species